rnacentral:lncRNA from 1 species
AUUAACCAUACCUUGUCAAUCAAUUAACCAUGUCUCCGUUUGAAGUGAAAAUUGAAUUUCCAUAAAGAUAAUCGAUUACCCUAUAUGAUUAAUCGAUUAACCAUUCCAAAUUUCACAUAUUUUCUGAACGUUAUGGAAUGUAUAAUCGACUAUCCUAUUCAAAUCAAUCCAUUAACCUCUGUUUAAAGAUGAAAAAUUCUGAACC